UACGUAGGGGGCAAGCGUUGUCCGGAUUUACUGGGCGUAAAGCGCGUGUAGGCGGAGACGAAAGUCCGGUGUGAAAGCCCCCCGCUCAACGGGGGAAGGUCGCUGGAAACUGCGUUUCUUGAGGGCGGCAGAGGGAAGUGGAAUUGCUGGUGUAGCGGUGAAAUGCGUAGAGAUCAGCAGGAACACCCGUGGCGAAGGCGGCUUCCUGGGCCGCGCCUGACGCUGAGACGCGAAAGCGUGGGGAGCGAACGGG
rnacentral:rRNA from 1 species